GCUGCCUCCUGUGCUCAGACUGUGUUUUUUAACAACCACCUCCCCUCUUUCUUCAGGUGGUCUGUGGGAGACACACGAGGUGUGUCGAAGUGUGAACUCUCCAAACUCCAGCCUUCUCUAUAGCUCCUUGGGUUGGUGCUCCUCUUCGUUGGACAUAGUUAUCAAUCCUUGGACUCAGAGAAUCAAAAAUGCUCCCAUGCCUAGAAGGCAAGGCUCCUGCGGGUAUUCUCCGAAAUCUACUCAUGGAGGGGCUGCCAGCCCCUGCCCCUGCCGCGCUGUGCUGGGCUCUUCUUGGGUAAAGCAGUUCUCGGUAGCACUGAGUUAGAAGAAGCUGAAGAGGAAUAGCGUCUGCUGUUUGGGUGUCUUUGAUGGAAGACCCUCUGGAUUGCCUUAGCAAUAAAGGAACUGUAAAGGCGCAUGGAUCUUGUGCUGGGAAGAGACAGCAUACUCCAGGGAAAAACCAGGUGUUGAAGAAGAAGGUCAUGGGAAAGUAAAGCAGGGGGAGAGCAAUAG